CACAUCAUCCUGGAAGAGUUCUGCCGCGCCGCGCCUCGGGCGCGCGCCGCAGACGCCGAAGGCGCAACAUCCGCCCGGAAUCGCUCAGGCUUCAGGACCGGGAUGAUGAA
rnacentral:ncRNA from 1 species